UGCAGUCGAACGAUACUCUUUAGCUUGCUAGAGAGGAAAGUGGCGCACGGGUGCGUAACGCGUAUGCAACCUACCUUAAUCAGGGGGAUAGCCCGAAGAAAUUCGGAUUAACACCGCAUAAAAUCACAGUAUAGCAUUAUACAAUGAUCAAAUAUUUAUAGGAUUAAGAUGGGCAUGCGUGACAUUAGUUAGUUGGCGGGGUAACGGCCCACCAAGACCACGAUGUCUAGGGGAUCUGAGAGGAUGACCCCCCACACUGGUACUGAGACACGGACCAGACUCCUACGGGAGGCAGCAGUAAGGAAUAUUGGUCAAUGGAGGCAACUCUGAACCAGCCAUGCCGCGUGCAGGAAGACAGCCCUCUGGGUCGUAAACUGCUUUUAUUCGGGAAUAAACCUACUUACGUGUAAGUAGCUGAAUGUACCGAAGGAAUAAGGAUCGGCUAACUCCGUGCCAGCAGCCGCGGUAAUACGGAGGAUCCAAGCGUUAUCCGGAUUUAUUGGGUUUAAAGGGUGCGUAGGCGGCUUUUUAAGUCAGGGGUGAAAGACGGUGGCUCAACCAUCGCAGUGCCCUUGAUACUGAAGAGCUUGAAUGAAUUAGAGGUAGGCGGAAUGUGACAAGUAGCGGUGAAAUGCAUAGAUAUGUCACAGAACACCGAUUGCGAAGGCAGCUUACUAUGAUUUUAUUGACGCUGAGGCACGAAAGCGUGGGGAUCAAACAGGAUUAGAUACCCUGGUAGUCCACGCCCUAAACGAUGAAUACUCGCUGUUAGCGAUACACAGUUAGCGGCUAAGCGAAAGCGUUAAGUAUUCCACCUGGGGAGUACGGUCGCAAGAUUGAAACUCAAAGGAAUUGACGGGGGCCCGCACAAGCGGAGGAGCAUGUGGUUUAAUUCGAUGAUACGCGAGGAACCUUACCCGGGCUUGAAAGUUAGUGAAUCAUUUAGAGAUAGAUGAGUCCGCAAGGACACGAAACUAGGUGCUGCAUGGCUGUCGUCAGCUCGUGCCGUGAGGUGUUGGGUUAAGUCCCGCAACGAGCGCAACCCCUAUGUUUAGUUGCCAGCACGUUAAGGUGGGGACUCUAAACAGACUGCCUGUGCAAACAGAGAGGAAGGAGGGGACGACGUCAAGUCAUCAUGGCCCUUACGUCCGGGGCUACACACGUGCUACAAUGGAUGGUACAGAGGGCAGCAAGCUGGUAACAGCAAGCAAAUCUCCAAAAGCCAUUCACAGUUCGGAUAGAGGUCUGCAACUCGACCUCUUGAAGUUGGAUUCGCUAGUAAUCGUAUAUCAGCAAUGAUACGGUGAAUACGUUCCCGGGCCUUGUACACACCGCCCGUCAAGCCAUGGAAGUUGGGGGUACCUAAAGUAUGUAACCGCAAGGAGC
rnacentral:rRNA from 1 species